rfam:TPA: Bos taurus chromosome 15, whole genome shotgun sequence.
UCCCUUGUGGCUCAGCUGGUAAAGAAUCUGCCUGUAAUGCAGGAGACCUGGGUUCGAUCCCUGGGUUGGGAA